rnacentral:rRNA from 1 species
AACGUAGGUACCGAGCGUUAUCCGGAUUUACUGGGCGUAAAGCGCGUUCAGGCGGUUUGGCAAGUCGGGCAUGAAAUCCUUCGGCUCAACCGGGGGAGGUUGUCCGAUACUGCUGAACUGGAGGGCAGUAGAGGGUGGUGGAAUUCCGGGUGUAGUGGUGAAAUGCGUAGAGAUCCGGAGGAACACCAGUGGCGAAAGCGGCCACCUGGACUGUACCUGACGCUCAAACGCGAAAGCUAGGGGAG